GAUUAACGCUGGCGGCGUGCAUAACACAUGCGAGUCGAACGAUGAAACUCAUUAGAUUUCUUCGGAAUGAAACUGAAUGGAUUAGUGGCGAACGGGUGAGUAACGCGUGAGUAACCUGCCUUACACAAGGGGAUAGCCUCUGGAAACGGAGAAUAAUACCCUAUGAAACCAGACAAUCGCAUGAUAAUCUGGUCAAAAUGUUUAGUGGUGUAAGAUGGACUUGCGUCUGAUUAGCUAGUUGGUGAGAUAAAAGCUCACCAAGGCAACGAUCAGUAGCCGGCUUGAGAGAGUGUACGGCCACAUUGGGACUGAGACACGGCCCAGACUCCUACGGGAGGCAGCAGUGGGGAAUCUUGCACAAUGGGGGAAACCCUGAUGCAGCGACGCCGCGUGAUUGAGAAGGCCUUCGGGUUGUAAAAAUCUUUUGUAUAGGAAGAAAAUGACAGUACUAUACGAAUAAGGUCCGGCUAAUUACGUG
rnacentral:rRNA from 1 species